GCCAUACCUCUAUUGGACAAACAGAAACCCCAUUGGUGCCCUAAACCAAUAUCUACUAUUCUUGCUUUGCUGCUGAAAUCUUUAUCACUAUCUAACAGCAAACAAUACAUGCAUCUAAAACCAUGGGUUCAAAUGAAUUAAGUCUUCUGAAGAUAAAAUGAAGAAUGUCCCUUCAUUUAAACUGGGAUUAAAAUGCCUGGCUGAAACUGCUUACCACUAGGAGCACUUCAGGAAGACUGCCAAGUCACGCCACUACGACAUUUUUAUGCCUCAUACGAUAUGAACUGUAUGUGGUUGGAUGCCUUUCAUUGCAAUAUUUUGGGCACUUGGAUAAAUCCUCUGGGUACUGUGAUAAAUGAUAGCACCACAGUAUGUAUUUUUUUAUACAUCCAAUGAACAUGAAUGUUCAGAAGAAAUAAAAACUGGCGUUUGAAGACGAGGACAACCAUACUUGUGGUUGCUUAUACAUUAAAAUGCUUUACCAUGAAAUUGAUGAAACUCUGUGACAACUAAAGCAAGCAGAUAUUUCAGACACUAUUUGUGCACUGGGUGGUUUGCUAAUUUACUCAUUCAGCUGAUGUUGCAAAAUAUUACUGCACAAUUUUUUUGCACUAGUGUGUUUGGAAUGACUGAGUACCAUACCAUCAAAAUACAGGGUUUAUAAAAACAAUGUGUAAUGUUCAAAUAAUGUCCAUUUUCAUGUUCCAUACAUUCCAAGACAUAUUAGAUUUAAAUAGAGAUUCUAACAAUUCACAAUCUUUUGACAUAAAGAAAAUGGUUUGGUUAAUUUCUUGCUUACAAUACCAUGUUCACCAAGUGACACCU